rnacentral:lncRNA from 1 species
ACAUAUACUUCUUCUCUUUCUUCUCUCCACAGUCCACAUAUAUACUUAUUCUCUUUCUCCACUUCUCAGAUAAUAAUAUAACUUGAUGUUUUGUUAAAAUUUUGUUCAUCAUUUCUGUUAACAAUAUGUAGUUAUGUACUUAUUUUUCUGAUUUGCUUGACUAUUUUUGUGUUGGAGAAAAGAGUUUAGGGCUAAACUUGGAGCUCUAUGCCGACAAUAAUGGUGAUUUUUCCCCCCCGGUAGUUGCUUUUCUUUUAAGAGAAAAAUGCUACAUGCACAGAUUUUACCUGAUCAUAAAGGUAAAGGAAAAGGAGGUAACUUGAUAGGAAGAUUUCAUCCCUAUUAUCUGCACAAAUGAAACAUGCAAGCGGUACGUAUUUGAUGCGUAUAGAUAUAAAUUCUGAUUCUAUUUUUUGUCUGAUCUCAACUCUCAAUUUUGGUAAGUUCUUUCUUCCUAUCACUCUUGGCUUAUUGCACUUAUUUGCUAUUUGUUUCUUGUUUAUUGAAGUGGAAUAUGCAUGCCCUCAAAGUGUUUGAUGAUAUGUCCGACUCAUUUUAUUUGGAGUGAUCAAGUUCACAAAUAUUAUUUUAAUUAUUUGUAGUAAACGGGUCAACUAAAUUAACCGAUGUCAUCGGUGAUGGUUCAGCUAUAGGUUUCGACCUUCAUGGAAUUUGUUGGGUUUGUAAAAUUUUGCUCUUUAUUAGGAUAAGUGUCAACAAGAAAAGGGGCAAAACGAUAGAGAAAAGUUUUUUCCCCUCAUCGUCAAAUUAGAGGUAAAAAUAUUUGUAUGACACACUUUAAACUAUUCUUGAUUAAUUUAACAUUAUAAAAAUAUUAGUUAACUGAACUAUUAAAUCCGAUUGUUUUCUUUCAGGUUUCUGAAUGUGUUGUUCUGAUUAUUGUUCCUCAGUGUAUUCAGCCUUCUUAACUUCGGUAUGUAUCUAUCUUUUUUUAGCUUCUUCAAUUUGCCUAUCUAUUUGAUUAUUUUUUUCUUGGAUUCACCUGUCUUCUUAUUAGCUGAAUUAUUUUCUUUUAAUACUGUCUGUAAAAAAAAAUAAUGGCUUUGUUGUGGUAGUGAUCUACUUUUCAUUCAAAUUCUUUAUCCCAAAUUUGAAACUAUGUUUCUAUUUUCCUUCAGUGAACGCUUCCAAUAACUGACUCCAAUUGUUGCUUCAAUUAAAUGUGUGAAGCGAGCUUUCACUUUCCUCUGUUCCAUGAUUUUAUUUUGAAAAGAUGAAGCUGCUAAAGUUUAUAAACAUUCUAAUUGUGAUAAUUUAUAUCUACUUAUGAAAUCUGUACACUUUUUCCUUAUGCUUUAAUGUUAAGAAAUAAAUUUAUAAACAUGACACCUAACAAUGCACUUCUAUAAAUUUUUCAAGCUGUCUGAUUUAUUUUAAUUUGAGAUGGACAAAGUUUUGUUGUUUUGAGCCUGGAAAAAUGUAGUAAAUAUGUGAUGAAGAAAAUGUUAUUAAAGAUGUUUGAAGUAGUAAUGAAGUUAUGUUACCCGGCACAACAUGUUUAAUAUUCUCAACGGCGAUUACCGCAAACAUAGCUCUUUUCCCCCUCAGUUUAUCUAUUGUGAUUGAGGAGUUCCUUUUGGUUGUUGAUUUGUGGAUAGAUAUGGUUAGAAAAUAUUAAAUUGUUGCUUUUAGCUUUAACUUGAAUUGGAGUUGAAAAUUAUAACAAAUUUCAAGAAGAAGAUUCAUGCCGCUGAAGUAAAUGAAAAUCUACACUGUUGCUGCUGAAAUCUGUAUUAGUAGUAGUAGUUGUAGUUCAGACUUAUUGAGACUGAUCUAAAUUCGAGUAUGAUUUUAGAGCCUGUUUGGAUUUGCUUUUCAUUUUUGACUUAUAAGCCAAAAGUAAUAAGUUAGAAGUACUAACUUGUGGCUUAUAGUAGUAAUUGUAGUUCAGACUUUUCGAGACUGAUCUAAAUUCGAGUCUGAUUUUAGAGCCUGUUUGGAUUUGCUUUUCAUUUUUGACUUAUAAGGCAAAAGCCAUAAGUUAGAAGUACCAACUUGUGGCUUAUUUUUAGGAUUUUAGCUUAAAAUAAAGUGUUUACUAAGCAUUUAUUUGACUUAUUCACACACUUUUUUUUUUUUUUUAGUUUUUUUUUUUUACCCUCCCUAGGAGCUCCCACCCCUUUUGCUCCCUUGGUGACAAGAACUUGCAACCUUCGGGUUGGAAGUGAGGGGUGCUUACCAUCCGAGCAAUUAAGUUCUUAAAAGCUAUUUUAGCUUAAAAGCACUUAAAAUAAGCUAAUCGAAACGGGUUAUUAAGUUUGGAAAGUGUUGAGUACCCCUGCUGUGUAUUUUGACUUAUGAUUCUGGAUCCAAUUGAUGAGAAGUUGUUGUUCAAGUUUUAGUACAAUAUACUUCUGAAGUUCUUGAAACAUAAUUGAGCUUGGCCUGCUAUUUUUUUUGCUUUUGCACUGUCUAUUUGAAAAAGUGGGUUAAAUAUUGAACAAGAGAAGGCAUGAUGGCCUAUGCAUGCUUUAACAAUGUGUGUGACACUUUGUUAUUACUACACUCUACAUUCACUACUUAAAACAAUUCUCUCAUUUCAACAUAAAAUCUCCACAGGCAAUUUAUCAAUUUGGCUGGAGAGGCCAGACAAGCAUUGCGGUUAGACAGAGCAUUCCUUCCAUCUCUCAAUGCUUUGGCGACCCCUAAACUCGAAUUUGCAAUUACAGUAGUAAUUAAGAACAACUUGCCAGCCACCAACAAAGUCACCGACCGCAUCACUUUAUUACCUUUUGCUGAUACGAGUUUAUGUAACCAUUUGUAAAUGAUGUAUACAUAGUGAUAUCAUGAAUCUUAUGUACAAUCAGUAUAUAUGUGUGUAUGAAUUAGUCAUCUUCGGAUAAUUGUCACAUAAUCAAUAUGUUUAACUACUGUCAUCCAAUAUAAUAUAUAUUGGACUAGUGCGCGCAC